AGUGAACGCUGGCGGUAGGCCUAACACAUGCAAGUCGAACGGCAGCACAGUAAGAGCUUGCUCUUACGGGUGGCGAGUGGCGGACGGGUGAGGAAUACAUCGGAAUCUACUUUUUCGUGGGGGAUAACGUAGGGAAACUUACGCUAAUACCGCAUACGACCUACGGGUGAAAGCAGGGGAUCUUCGGACCUUGCGCGAUUGAAUGAGCCGAUGUCGGAUUAGCUAGUUGGCGGGGUAAAGGCCCACCAAGGCGACGAUCCGUAGCUGGUCUGAGAGGAUGAUCAGCCACACUGGAACUGAGACACGGUCCAGACUCCUACGGGAGCGAGCAGUGGGGAAUAUUGGACAAUGGGCGCAAGCCUGAUCCAGCCAUACCGCGUGGGUGAAGAAGGCCUUCGGGUUGUAAAGCCCUUUUGUUGGGAAAGAAAAGCAGCAGGUUAAUACCCCGCUGUUCUGACGGUACCCAAAGAAUAAGCACCGGCUAACUUCGUG
rnacentral:rRNA from 1 species